rnacentral:rRNA from 1 species
UACGUAGGGUGCGAGCGUUAAUCGGAAUUACUGGGCGUAAAGCGUGCGCAGGCGGCUUUGCAAGACAGAUGUGAAAUCCCCGGGCUCAACCUGGGAACUGCAUUUGUGACUGCAAGGCUAGAGUACGGCAGAGGGGGAUGGAAUUCCGGGUGUAGCAGUGAAAUGCGUAGAUAUGCGGAGGAACACCAAUGGCGAAGGCAAUCCCCUGGGCCUGUACUGACGCUCAUGCACGAAAGCGUGGGGAGCAAACAGG